GUAUUACUCACUCGGUCCGAAUAAACUUGUCCCAAAUUUGUCUUUCAAAUGGAUGUAUCUAGCACUAACUUGAUGCUAGAUACAUUAAUUUAAGGGAUAAGAUUUUUCGGACGGAGGGAGUACCUA
rfam:Triticum urartu cultivar G1812 contig1214733, whole genome shotgun sequence.